AGCUCCAAUAGCGUAUAUUAAAUCUGCUGCGGUUAAAACGCUCGUAGUUGGAUAUCUGUUCGGAAAACUCAGGUCCACCCAAGUGGUGUGUAUCUGAAUCAACCGUGACAAGAAACUCGCGAACACGCAUGCACUUCAUUGUGCGGCGAGAUCUCGAGAACGCUUACUUUGAGGAAAUGAGGGUGCUCCAAGCAGGCUAUGGCCUUGCAUACGUUAGCAUGGAAUAAUAGGACAAGACGUUGUUCCGAAGUGGUUAGUUUUCGGUCCGAUGUAGUACUAAUAGAGGUAGUUGAGGGCAUUCGUAUUUAAUUGCUAGAGGUGAAAUUCUUGGAUUUUUUAAAGACGAGCUACUGCGAACGCAUCUGCCCAGGAUGUUCUUC
rnacentral:rRNA from 1 species